rnacentral:rRNA from 1 species
UACAGAGGGGGCAAGCGUUAUUCGGAAUUAUUGGGCGUAAAGAGCGUGUAGGCGGCCUGAAAGGUCAGCUGUGAAAACUCGAGGCUCAACCUCGAGACGUCGGUUGAAACCAUCUGGCUAGAGUCCGGAAGAGGAGUGUGGAAUUCCCGGUGUAGCGGUGAAAUGCGCAGAUAUCGGGAAGAACACCCGUGGCGAAGGCGGCACUCUGGGACGGUACUGACGCUGAGACGCGAAAGCGUGGGGAGCGAACAGG